CUUGGGAGCCCUGUUAGACUC
rnacentral:miRNA from 1 species